GACGAACGCUGGCGGCGUGCUUAACACAUGCAAGUCGAACGCUGAAGCUCAGCUUUUGUUGGGUGGAUGAGUGGCGAACGGGUGAGUAACACGUGAGUAACCUGCCUCCUUCUUUGGGAUAACGCCCGGAAACGGGUGCUAAUACUGGAUAUUCACUGGUCUUCGCAUGGGGGUUGGUGGAAAGGGUUUUUCUGGUGGGGGAUGGGCUCGCGGCCUAUCAGCUUGUUGGUGGGGUGAUGGCCUACCAAGGCUUUGACGGGUAGCCGGCCUGAGAGGGUGACCGGUCACAUUGGGACUGAGAUACGGCCCAGACUCCUACGGGAGGCAGCAGUGGGGAAUAUUGCACAAUGGGCGAAAGCCUGAUGCAGCGACGCCGCGUGAGGGAUGGAGGCCUUCGGGUUGUGAACCUCUUUCGCUCAUGGUCAAGCCGCAACAAUGGUUGUGGUGAGGGUAGUGGGUAAAGAAGCGCCGGCUAACUACGUG
rnacentral:rRNA from 1 species